UACGUAGGUCCCGAGCGUUGUCCGGAUUUAUUGGGCGUAAAGCGAGCGCAGGUGGUUUAUUAAGUCUGGUGUAAAAGGCAGUGACUCAACCAUUGUAUGCAUUGGAAACUGGUGGACUUGAGUGCAGGAGAGGAGAGUGGAAUUCCAUGUGUAGCGGUGGAAUGCGUAGAUAUAUGGAGGAACACCGGUGGCGAAAGCGGCUCUCUGGCCUGUAACUGACACUGAGGCUCGAAAGCGUGGGGAGCAAACAGG
rnacentral:rRNA from 1 species